rnacentral:rRNA from 1 species
ACUAAGCGUACACGGUGGAUGCCCUGGCAGUCAGAGGCGAUGAAGGGCGUGCUAAUCUGCGAUAAGCGCCGGUAAGGUGAUAUGAACCGUUAUAACCGGCGAUACCCGAAUGGGGAAACCCAGUGUGAUUCGUCACACUAUCAUUAACUGAAUCCAUAGGUUAAUGAGGCGAACCGGGGGAACUGAAACAUCUAAGUACCCCGAGGAAAAGAAAUCAACCGAGAUUCCCCCAGUAGCGGCGAGCGAACGGGGAGGAGCCCAGAGCCUGAAUCAGCAUGUGUGUUAGUGGAAGCGUCUGGAAAGGCGCGCGAUACAGGGUGACAGCCCCGUACACAAAAGCGCAUGUGCUGUGAGCUCGAUGAGUAGGGCGGGACACGUGGUAUCCUGUCUGAAUAUGGGGGGACCAUCCUCCAAGGCUAAAUACUCCUGACUGACCGAUAGUGAACCAGUACCGUGAGGGAAAGGCGAAAAGAACCCCGGCGAGGGGAGUGAAAAAGAACCUGAAACCGUGUACGUACAAGCAGUGGGAGCACAGGUUUACCUGUGUGACUGCGUACCUUUUGUAUAAUGGGUCAGCGACUUAUAUUCUGUAGCAAGGUUAACCGAAUAGGGGAGCCGGAGGGAAACCGAGUCUUAACCGGGCGUUAAGUUGCAGGGUAUAGACCCGAAACCCGGUGAUCUAGCCAUGGGCAGGUUGAAGGUUGGGUAACACUAACUGGAGGACCGAACCGACUAAUGUUGAAAAAUUAGCGGAUGACCUGUGGCUGGGGGUGAAAGGCCAAUCAAACCGGGAGAUAGCUGGUUCUCCCCGAAAGCUAUUUAGGUAGCGCCUCGUGAAUUCAUCUCCGGGGGUAGAGCACUGUUUCGGCUAGGGGGCCAUCCCGGCUUACCAACCCGAUGCAAACUGCGAAUACCGGAGAAUGUUAUCACGGGAGACACACGGCGGGUGCUAACGUCCGUCGUGAAGAGGGAAACAACCCAGACCGCCAGCUAAGGUCCCAAAGUCAUGGUUAAGUGGGAAACGAUGUGGGAAGGCCCAGACAGCCAGGAUGUUGGCUUAGAAGCAGCCAUCAUUUAAAGAAAGCGUAAUAGCUCACUGGUCGAGUCGGCCUGCGCGGAAGAUGUAACGGGGCUAAACCAUGCACCGAAGCUGCGGCAGCGAACGUAUCACUUAAAGCGAUUCAGCGGGUUACGAUUGACGGAGCGAAGCGACGUCAAAGCGUAUACAAAGUCGAGUCGGUUUAAGGAUACGUUCGUUGGGUAGGGGAGCGUUCUGUAAGCCUGCGAAGGUGGCCUGUGAGGGUUGCUGGAGGUAUCAGAAGUGCGAAUGCUGACAUAAGUAACGAUAAAGCGGGUGAAAAGCCCGCUCGCCGGAAGACCAAGGGUUCCUGUCCAACGUUAAUCGGGGCAGGGUGAGUCGACCCCUAAGGCGAGGCCGAAAGGCGUAGUCGAUGGGAAACGGGUUAAUAUUCCCGUACUUGGUGUUACUGCGAAGGGGGGACGGAGAAGGCUAUGUUGGCCGGGCGACGGUUGUCCCGGUUUAAGCGUGUAGGUGUGUGUUCCAGGUAAAUCCGGUUCACUUUAACACUGAGGCGUGAUGACGAGGCACUACGGUGCUGAAGCAACAAAUGCCCUGCUUCCAGGAAAAGCCUCUAAGCAUCAGGUAACAUCAAAUCGUACCCCAAACCGACACAGGUGGUCAGGUAGAGAAUACCAAGGCGCUUGAGAGAACUCGGGUGAAGGAACUAGGCAAAAUGGUGCCGUAACUUCGGGAGAAGGCACGCUGACAUGUAGGUGAAGUGAUUUACUCAUGGAGCUGAAGUCAGUCGAAGAUACCAGCUGGCUGCAACUGUUUAUUAAAAACACAGCACUGUGCAAACACGAAAGUGGACGUAUACGGUGUGACGCCUGCCCGGUGCCGGAAGGUUAAUUGAUGGGGUCAGCGCAAGCGAAGCUCCUGAUCGAAGCCCCGGUAAACGGCGGCCGUAACUAUAACGGUCCUAAGGUAGCGAAAUUCCUUGUCGGGUAAGUUCCGACCUGCACGAAUGGCGUAAUGAUGGCCAGGCUGUCUCCACCCGAGACUCAGUGAAAUUGAACUCGCUGUGAAGAUGCAGUGUACCCGCGGCAAGACGGAAAGACCCCGUGAACCUUUACUAUAGCUUGACACUGAACAUUGAGCCUUGAUGUGUAGGAUAGGUGGGAGGCUUUGAAGCGUGGACGCCAGUCUGCGUGGAGCCGACCUUGAAAUACCACCCUUUAAUGUUUGAUGUUCUAACGUGGAUCCGUAAUCCGGGUUGCGGACAGUGUCUGGUGGGUAGUUUGACUGGGGCGGUCUCCUCCUAAAGAGUAACGGAGGAGCACGAAGGUUGGCUAAUCCUGGUCGGACAUCAGGAGGUUAGUGCAAUGGCAUAAGCCAGCUUGACUGCGAGCGUGACGGCGCGAGCAGGUGCGAAAGCAGGUCAUAGUGAUCCGGUGGUUCUGAAUGGAAGGGCCAUCGCUCAACGGAUAAAAGGUACUCCGGGGAUAACAGGCUGAUACCGCCCAAGAGUUCAUAUCGACGGCGGUGUUUGGCACCUCGAUGUCGGCUCAUCACAUCCUGGGGCUGAAGUAGGUCCCAAGGGUAUGGCUGUUCGCCAUUUAAAGUGGUACGCGAGCUGGGUUUAGAACGUCGUGAGACAGUUCGGUCCCUAUCUGCCGUGGGCGCUGGAGAACUGAGGGGGGCUGCUCCUAGUACGAGAGGACCGGAGUGGACGCAUCACUGGUGUUCGGGUUGUCAUGCCAAUGGCACUGCCCGGUAGCUAAAUGCGGAAGAGAUAAGUGCUGAAAGCAUCUAAGCACGAAACUUGCCCCGAGAUGAGUUCUCCCUGAGACUUAGAGUCUCCUGAAGGAACGUUGAAGACGACGACGUUGAUAGGCCGGGUGUGUAAGCGCAGCGAUGCGUUGAGCUAACCGGUACUAAUGAACCGUGAGGCUUAACC